rnacentral:rRNA from 1 species
UACGAAGGGGGCUAGCGUUAUCCGGAGUUACUGGGCGUAAAGGGCGUGCAGGUGGUCAUUUAAGUUCGGCGUGAAAGCUCUUGGCUAAACCGGGAGAGGUCGUCGGAGACUGGAUGGCUAGAGGGUGAUAGAGGCGGGUGGAAUUCCGGGUGUAGUGGUGAAAUGCGUAGAGAUCCGGAGGAACACCAGUGGCGAAGGCGACCCGCUGGGUCACACCUGACACUGAGACGCGACAGCAUGGGGAGCGAACGGG